rnacentral:rRNA from 1 species
GAUGAACGCUAGCGGGAGGCUUAACACAUGCAAGUCGAGGGGCAGCAUAGGGUAGCAAUACUCUGAUGGCGACCGGCAAACGGGUGAGUAACGCGUAUGCAACCUACCCUGUACAGGGGGAUAACCCGGAGAAAUUCGGACUAAUAUCCCGUAAUAAUAUCCGGAGGCAUCUUUGGAUAUUUAAAGUUCCGACGGUACGGGAUGGGCAUGCGUAACAUUAGCUGGUUGGUAAGGUAACGGCUUACCAAGGCUAUGAUGUUUAGGGGUCCUGAGAGGGUGGUCCCCCACACUGGUACUGAGACACGGACCAGACUCCUACGGGAGGCAGCAGUGAGGAAUAUUGGUCAAUGGGCGCAAGCCUGAACCAGCCAUCCCGCGUGCAGGAAGACGGCCCUAUCGGGUUGUAAACUGCUUUUCCAGGGAGAGGAAACUUACGCACGUGUUGCGUGACUGACGGUACCCUGGGAAUAAGCAUCGGCUAACUCCGUG